UCCACUUGAAACAAACCAGGGAGGGAUCAAGUUUUAAGAGCAGGUGCUAACUGGUUGCAAAAGACAAGUCCGUCACUUCAGGAGAAGGUUUUGCAGGUAGCUCCUCGAGGACACAGCGCGGGAGCCCAGGGCUUUGUCGAGAAAAUCGGUUACUGGACAGAGCCACGGGCUCCUAUUUGUCUUAGGACACCACACCGGUGAGCGCGGAAGAACCCUCUCGGCUGUAACAGAGAACUAUUUUCCUAUCCUCUGUUUCCCCCUUGAAAGCUGAUUGACUCUCUCCUCAGAUGGACAAUGGCCUAAUUUACAGGUCUCAUCCCUCCAAAGAAGAAGACAGUCUUUCAGAAGAAAGUGGCUGGCCGGAAGGGCGCUGCAUUUGCCCAGACCUCCCAGACAUCUCGCCAAAAAAACAAAACAAAACAAAACAAAAAAAAAAACAACGACAACAAAAAACGCUUCCUUCUGGGUUGGUUUCUCUGUCGCUGCAAAUACCACACACGGAGAGCUGGCGCUCGGCUUCUGGAGAGCAACCCUGUGUAACAAAACUACUUACGGGAUCCAGGCGGGGGCAAGGCUUGGGCGAUGAGCUUGACGGUCUGACUCUUGCUUUCACUGACCAUCUGUCCCCCUCGGUGAGCCGUCCUUUCUGCCGACUUCACAGAGGAGCCAAGCGACCGACAGCAAAUUGCUCAUUUUCCAAACAAAAAUGCAGACAGUAAGAGAGCCUGUUCUUCGCAGGAAUGCAGGCGAUUAGCCACGGAGCCCUUCUCUGUCUAGCACCCGGGAUCAGUCGCCCAGCCACGCAGAGGCCAUUUGAAUGGAACCACAGAAUAAUCUUCAGAAGAAAAAGCAAGCUCACGUGAGUAGCGGCGGCUCAUUGUGCUGAGUUAAACACGCCGGACGGAGUCUGGCAGCGGGGCGGCGUGGUGUUACUGACAAUGGUGGGGCAGUGGCAGUGGCCGAGACAUUGGUAUCAGUCUACUGGAGCCCUGGUAAUUAGUAUUCCCUGUUGCAUCCUAAUUAAAUACCCUGAGUGCUUUAAAAUUUUUAAGUAGUUUUUGUUUUGUUGGCAGAAGACCUUUAAACCCUUUAAACCUAAACAUUAUGGGGAACUCCAUUAUAUGAAACAGACAAUAAUAUCUAAAAUUUAUAUAGCAUUUUUGGGUGCCCCUGCGUGUCUCAGUCAGUUAAGUGUCUGACUCUCGAUUCCGGCUCUGGUCAUGACCUCAUGGUUCAUGAGUUCAAGCCCCGCAUCAGGUUCUGCACUGACAGUGAACAGCCUGCUUGGGAUUCUCCCCCUCUUUCUCUCCCCGCCCUUGUCUCUCUCUGUCCCUCCUCUGCUUGUGCUCUCUCUCUCUCUCUCUCAAAAAUAAAUAAAUAAAAGUUAGAAUUUAUAUAGCA
rnacentral:lncRNA from 1 species